GAUGAAGAACGCAGCAAAAUGCGAUAAGUAAUGUGAAUUGCAGAAUUCAGUGAAUCAUCGAAUCUUUGAACGCACAUUGCGCCCGCCAGUAUUCUGGCGGGCAUGCCUGUUCGAGCGUCAUUUCAACCCUCAAGCACAGCUUGGUGUUGGGACUCGCGUUAAUUCGCGUUCCCCAAAUUGAUUGGCGGUCACGUCGAGCUUCCAUAGCGUAGUAGUAAAACCCUCGUUACUGGUAAUCGUCGCGGCCACGCCGUUAAACCCCAACUUCUGAAUGUUGACCUCGGAUCAGGUAGGGAUACCCGCUGAACUUAAGCAUAUCAAUAAGCGGAGGA
rnacentral:misc_RNA from 1 species